rnacentral:rRNA from 1 species
GACGAACGCUGGCGGCGUGCUUAACACAUGCAAGUCGAACGGUGAACGAGGGAGCUUGCUCCCUCCGGAUCAGUGGCGAACGGGUGAGUAACACGUGAGCAAUCUGCCCCGAACUCUGGGAUAAGCGUUGGAAACGACGUCUAAUACCGGAUACGACGCGGGUGGGCAUUCUCUCUGCGUGGAAAGAACUUCGGUUCGGGAUGAGCUCGCGGCCUAUCAGCUUGUUGGUGAGGUAACGGCUCACCAAGGCGACGACGGGUAGCCGGCCUGAGAGGGUGACCGGCCACACUGGGACUGAGACACGGCCCAGACUCCUACGGGAGGCAGCAGUGGGGAAUAUUGCACAAUGGGCGCAAGCCUGAUGCAGCAACGCCGCGUGAGGGACGACGGCCUUCGGGUUGUAAACCUCUUUUAGCAGGGAAGAAGCGAAAGUGACGGUACUUGCAGAAAAAGCACCGGCUAACUACGUG